CAAUGCUGAAGAGUCCCACAAUAGGGCCAAACGGCCGUCCGGUGG
rnacentral:hammerhead_ribozyme from 1 species